AGUAUGAUCCUGGCUCAGGAUGAACGCUGGCGGCGUGCCUAAUACAUGCAAGUCGAGCGAACAGAUAAGGAGCUUGCUCCUUUGACGUUAGCGGCGGACGGGUGAGUAACACGUGGGUAACCUACCUAUAAGACUGGGAUAACUUCGGGAAACCGGAGCUAAUACCGGAUAACAUUUGGAACCGCAUGGUUCUAAAGUGAAAGAUGGUUUUGCUAUCACUUAUAGAUGGACCCGCGCCGUAUUAGCUAGUUGGUAAGGUAACGGCUUACCAAGGCGACGAUACGUAGCCGACCUGAGAGGGUGAUCGGCCACACUGGAACUGAGACACGGUCCAGACUCCUACGGGAGGCAGCAGUAGGGAAUCUUCCGCAAUGGGCGAAAGCCUGACGGAGCAACGCCGCGUGAGUGAUGAAGGGUUUCGGCUCGUAAAACUCUGUUAUUAGGGAAGAACAAACGUGUAAGUAACUGUGCACGUCUUGACGGUACCUAAUCAGAAAGCCACGGCUAACUACGUGCCAGCAGCCGCGGUAAUACGUAGGUGGCAAGCGUUAUCCGGAAUUAUUGGGCGUAAAGCGCGCGUAGGCGGUUUCUUAAGUCUGAUGUGAAAGCCCACCCGGUUCCCCCUGGGGGGGCCCGGGAAACUGGGAAACUUGAGUGCAGAAGAGGAAAGUGGAAUUCCAUGUGUAGCGGUGAAAUGCGCAGAGAUAUGGAGGAACACAGUGGCGAAGGCGACUUUCUGGUCUGUAACUGACGCUGAUGUGCGAAAGCGUGGGGAUCAACAGGAUAGAUACCUGUAGUCCACGCCGUAACGACGAGUGCUAGUGUUAGGGGUUUCGCCCUUAGUGCUGCACUAACGAAUAAGACUCCGCCUGGGAGUACGACGCAGUUGAACUCCAAGGAAUUGAUGGGACCCCUACGGUGA
rnacentral:rRNA from 1 species